rnacentral:rRNA from 1 species
AGUCGAGCGGAUGAGUGGAGCUUGCUCCAUGAUUCAGCGGCGGACGGGUGAGUAAUGCCUAGGAAUCUGCCUGGUAGUGGGGGAUAACGUUUCGAAAGGAACGCUAAUACCGCAUACGUCCUACGGGAGAACGUGGGGGAUCUUCGGACCUCAUGCUAUCAGAUGAGCCUAGGUCGGAUUAGCUAGUUGGUGGGGUAAUGGCCCACCAAGGCGACGAUCCGUAACUGGUCUGAGAGGAUGAUCAGUCACACUGGAACUGAGACACGGUCCAGACUCCUACGGGAGGCAGCAGUGGGGAAUAUUGGACAAUGGGCGAAAGCCUGAUCCAGCCAUGCCGCGUGUGUGAAGAAGGUCUUCGGAUUGUAAAGCACUCUAAGUUGGGAGGAAGGGCAGUAAGUUAAUACCUUGCUGUUUUGACGUUACCAACAGAAUAAGCACCGGCUAACUUCGUGCCAGCAGCCGCGGUAAUACGAAGGGUGCAAGCGUUAAUCGGAAUUACUGGGCGUAAAGCGCGCGUAGGUGGUUCAGCAAGUUGGAUGUGAAAGCCCCGGGCUCAACCUGGGAAUUGCAUCCAAAACUACUGAGCUAGAGUACGGUAGAGGGUGGUGGAAUUUCCUGUGUAGCGGUGAAAUGCGUAGAUAUCGGGAGGAACAUCUGUGGCGAAGGCGGCUACCUGGACCAGCACUGACACUGAGGCACGAAAGCGUGGGGAGCAAACAGGAUUAGAUACCCUGGUAGUCCACGCCCUAAACGAUGCGAACUGGAUGUUGGGUGCACUUAGGCACUCAGUAUCGAAGCUAGCGCGUUAAGUUCGCCGCCUGGGGAGUACGGUCGCGAGACUGAAACUCAA